GUAGCUUUUGCUGAAAACCCCCCUUUUUAUUAUACUUUUUCCAUCACUUAACAUGAAGGCCCCUUUUCCUGUAAUGCUUUGUCACAAACUGGGGGCAGAGAUAGAUUUCUUCAUGUUUGGCUUGUACUUCUGUGAGCGCCUCCAGAAUAUUUAGAAACUGAAUUUAGCUAGGCAGAGGAGAGAAGAAGGUAUGAGGAGCCUGAGAAAUUGGCCUUUCAGCUGCACAGUAGGGACUGAAAGCUUUUGUUUCCUCCUCAUCCAAAGCAACCGUGACACUGGAGACUCCCAGGUGUGGAAGCCAAGCUGCAAUGGAAUGGUACAGUUGCUUGACCCCUGGGGAGUCUGUCCUUCUUGUUGGGGGACUGGAAGGAGAGACAACUGAGUGGAUCCACAACUACUUGCCGUAUAAUUCAAGUUUGUGAUUCUUAGCCAAGAUCAAAAGUGUGGCUUCAUCAAAAAAUACCCCCACAUUUCUUUAAAGCUGUAUUAG
rnacentral:lncRNA from 1 species